GUUACAAAAUAAGAGCAGAAACAGAUCAUCUGUUGAAAAAAAAUAUGGAGGGCUUUAAAACGCCUUCUAUUUAAGCCCCCGGAUAAUCGUAUUCCUUGUCUGCGCUUCAGCCUCCGGAGCCCAUGGCCAUGCAGCGUCCUAAGCACUGACUAGCUGCAAAGAAGGGGCAGAGCUUUCCUUUCUGCAUGCGUUGAAGGGCUGGCGUGCCUGAGCAAGGAGGAAUUUUGGACAUCUGCGUGCAAAGUCUGAGAGCCAGUGUGUUAGGCUGCAGCCUUCGUUUGUUCCAGGCACGCUGAGAUACGGUUGGUGUGCCCACACUUCUGUGAGUCAUUGCAGCUAUGGUGUUCCAGUUUUGCAAUGUAACAGAAGUGUGUCCAAAUCUGAGAAAACAAAAAAGAUGGCCUUGGACGUGGGAGGAGCUACUGGAAGACACUGUGCCAUGGGCUUGCAGCUCUGCCCUGGUGGGCAUGUUGAAGUGGUGCUGCCACCAAAAGGCAUGGUCCCAUUCUCCCCUACCCCAGCUGACCAGUUCUGCCCUGCACUGCUCUCUGGAGCAAACCUGCCAGUGCCUACAGCUGCAGUGCAGCUAAA